rnacentral:rRNA from 1 species
GACGAACGCUGGCGGCGUGCUUAACACAUGCAAGUCGAACGAAAAGGCCCCUUUUGGGGUCCUCGAGUGGCGAACGGGUUAGUAACACGCGCGUAACCUGCCCUUGACUUCCGGAUAACUUCAGUAAACUGGGGUUAUUACCGGAUAGCAAUCCUUUCUGCAUUGUGGGGGUUGGAAAGCUUCGUCGGUUUUGGAUGGACUCGCGGCCUAUCAGCUUCUUGGUGGCGUAGUGGCUUACCAAGGCUUUGACGAGUAGCCAGCCUUGGAGGGCGACCGGCCACAGUGGGACUGAGAUACAGCCCAGACUCCUACGGGAGGGAGCAGCGGCGAAUAGUGCUAUAUGGGCGGAGGCCUGAUGCAGCAACGGCGCGGGCGGGAGGACGGCGUUGGGGUUGUAAUCCGAUUUCAGCAGGAGCGAAGCUUGUGAUGACGGUACCUGCAGAAGAAGCACCGGCUAACUACGUG